AGUCUUAUAUUCAAAUAUGAUUUAAAAUUGCAAAUUUUAAGGUGUAAAUAUUUACUAAGGCUU
rnacentral:tRNA from 1 species